GUGGUCUACAGCAUACAGAAGACUUGUAAAUGAUCAGGCCAGACACAAUUCCAGCAAGCAGAGGGAAGGUGGUGGCUUCACUGUGCAGAUGGAGGUCCUUGUUUAUGAGUGAGGAGUUUCAGGAAGGUCCUGAGGAGACUUGUCCUGUGAGUGUGGUGAACUCAAGAACCAAGUGUCAUUGUCUUCUGUGAACAUGCCUCCUGAUGCCUGCCCAGUUCUGCUGCUCCUCUUGAUGCUCGGAAAGGUCAAUAGAGAUUCAGUAACCCAGAGAGAAGGCCUGGUUACUGUCACAGAGGGUUCACCUGUGACGCUGAACUGCACCUAUCAGACUACUGAUUCAGCUCCUACAAUUUUUUGGUAUGUGCAAUAUCUCAACAAAGCCCCUCAGUUACUUCUGAAGAGCUCCACAGACAACAAGAGGACAGAGGAGCAAGGGCUCCACUCCACUCUCCAUAAGAGCAGCAGCUCCUUCCACCUGCAGAAGUCCUCAGUGCAGCUGUCAGACUCUGCCCUGUACUACUGUUCUCUGAGUGACACAGUGAGGGAGAUGCAGGGAAAGCUGCACACUAACCAAGGUGCAGGAGGCUGAGGGGAGGGGCCCUGUGAGGGAGAGCUGUGUGCCUCUCUCAGUGGGUUUUAUGUAUCAUUCUGAAAAACAGCAACAAAACUCAGGUCAAAUUCUUAGAAACCAAGGAAUCUGUUGAUUUUCUGACAGGAUAGGAUGGAAGUCAUUGCCAGCAACAACACAGCCUGCUUCCACAGUGACACACUUCCUCCAACAUGACCACAUCUACUCCAACAAAGCCACAACUCCUAGUUAUUGCCACUUGCUAUGAGACUAUAUUGGCCAGCUUCACUCAAAUGGACACAAUGGCUAAUAUCUACUUAUAAAUGUGUACAUAUGUUGUUUGUGUUUCUUGGUCUGGGUUACCUCACUCAGGAUUAUCUUUUCUAGUUCCAUCUACACCUUCAGCAGCCAUCAAAUUAUGAUAGAUAUAGUGGAGCCUACACUGCUUAGAGCAGGGUAUACUGUGCAUAACUCCACCUAAGUCAGAAAUUUGACUGGCAUUGUCUCAAGUAAGUUCCAUGUAUGUAACCA